rnacentral:rRNA from 1 species
AUACGGAGGGUGCAAGCGUUGUCCGGAUUUAUUGGGUUUAAAGGGUGCGUAGGUGGUUUUUUAAGUCAGUGGUGAAAGCCUACAGCUUAACUGUAGAGGUGCCAUUGAUACUGGGGAACUUGAGUAUGGACGAGGGAGGCGGAAUUUGUGGUGUAGCGGUGAAAUGCAUAGAUACCACAAGGAACACCGAUAGCGAAGGCAGCUUACUGGGCCAUAACUGACACUGAGGCACGAAAGCGUGGGGAGCGAACAGGAUUAGAAACCCUAGUAGUCC